GAUGAACGCUGGCGGCGUGCCUAAUACAUGCAAGUCGAGCGAACGGACGAGAAGCUUGCUUCUCUGAUGUUAGCGGCGGACGGGUGAGUAACACGUGGAUAACCUACCUAUAAGACUGGGAUAACUUCGGGAAACCGGAGCUAAUACCGGAUAAUAUUUUGAACCGCAUGGUUCAAAAGUGAAAGACGGUCUUGCUGUCACUUAUAGAUGGAUCCGCGCUGCAUUAGCUAGUUGGUAAGGUAACGGCUUACCAAGGCAACGAUGCAUAGCCGACCUGAGAGGGUGAUCGGCCACACUGGAACUGAGACACGGUCCAGACUCCUACGGGAGGCAGCAGUAGGGAAUCUUCCGCAAUGGGCGAAAGCCUGACGGAGCAACGCCGCGUGAGUGAUGAAGGUCUUCGGAUCGUAAAACUCUGUUAUUAGGGAAGAACAUAUGUGUAAGUAACUGUGCACAUCUUGACGGUACCUAAUCAGAAAGCCACGGCUAACUACGUGCCAGCAGCCGCGGUAAUACGUAGGUGGCAAGCGUUAUCCGGAAUUAUUGGGCGUAAAGCGCGCGUAGGCGGUUUUUUAAGUCUGAUGUGAAAGCCCACGGCUCAACCGUGGAGGGUCAUUGGAAACUGGAAAACUUGAGUGCAGAAGAGGAAAGUGGAAUUCCAUGUGUAGCGGUGAAAUGCGCAGAGAUAUGGAGGAACACCAGUGGCGAAGGCGACUUUCUGGUCUGUAACUGACGCUGAUGUGCGAAAGCGUGGGGAUCAAACAGGAUUAGAUACCCUGGUAGUCCACGCCGUAAACGAUGAGUGCUAAGUGUUAGGGGGUUUCCGCCCCUUAGUGCUGCAGCUAACGCAUUAAGCACUCCGCCUGGGGAGUACGACCGCAAGGUUGAAACUCAAAGGAAUUGACGGGGACCCGCACAAGCGGUGGAGCAUGUGGUUUAAUUCGAAGCAACGCGAAGAACCUUACCAAAUCUUGACAUCCUUUGACAACUCUAGAGAUAGAGCCUUCCCCUUCGGGGGACAAAGUGACAGGUGGUGCAUGGUUGUCGUCAGCUCGUGUCGUGAGAUGUUGGGUUAAGUCCCGCAACGAGCGCAACCCUUAAGCUUAGUUGCCAUCAUUAAGUUGGGCACUCUAAGUUGACUGCCGGUGACAAACCGGAGGAAGGUGGGGAUGACGUCAAAUCAUCAUGCCCCUUAUGAUUUGGGCUACACACGUGCUACAAUGGACAAUACAAAGGGCAGCGAAACCGCGAGGUCAAGCAAAUCCCAUAAAGUUGUUCUCAGUUCGGAGUGUAGUCUGCAACUCGACUACAUGAAGCUGGAAUCGCUAGUAAUCGUAGAUCAGCAUGCUACGGUGAAUACGUUCCCGGGUCU
rnacentral:rRNA from 1 species